rnacentral:rRNA from 1 species
AUUGAACGCUGGCGGCAUGCUUUACACAUGCAAGUCGAACGGUAACAGGCCGCAAGGUGCUGACGAGUGGCGAACGGGUGAGUAAUGCAUCGGAACGUGCCCAGUCGUGGGGGAUAACUGCUCGAAAGAGUAGCUAAUACCGCAUACGAUCUAUGGAUGAAAGCGGGGGACCGUAAGGCCUCGCGCGAUUGGAGCGGCCGAUGUCAGAUUAGGUAGUUGGUGGGGUAAAGGCUCACCAAGCCAAUGAUCUGUAGCUGGUCUGAGAGGACGACCAGCCCAACUGGGACUGAGACACGGCCCAGACUCCUACGGGAGGCAGCAGUGGGGAAUUUUGGACAAUGGGGGCAACCCUGAUCCAGCAAUGCCGCGUGCAGGAAGAAGGCCUUCGGGUCGUAAACUGCUUUUGUACGGAACGAAACGGUCUGGGUUAAUACCCUGGGCUAAUGACGGUACCGUAAGAAUAAGCACCGGCUAACUACGUGCCAGCCGCCGCUGUAAAAC